rnacentral:rRNA from 1 species
CCUACGGGAGGCAGCAGUAGGGAAUAUUGCUCAAUGGGGGAAACCCUGAAGCAGCAACGCCGCGUGGAGGAUGAAGGUUUUCGGAUUGUAAACUCCUUUUGUUAGAGAAGAUAAUGACGGUAUCUAACGAAUAAGCACCGGCUAACUCCGUGCCAGCAGCCGCGGUAAUACGGAGGGUGCAAGCGUUACUCGGAAUCACUGGGCGUAAAGAGCGCGUAGGCGGGAUAGCAAGUCAGAUGUGAAAUCCUAGGGCUUAACCAUAGAACUGCAUUUGAAACUGUUAUUCUAGAGUAUGGGAGAGGUAGGUGGAAUGCUUGGUGUAGGGGUAAAAUCCGUAGAGAUCAAGAGGAAUACUCAUUGCGAAGGCGACCUGCUAGAACAUAACUGACGCUGAUGCGCGAAAGCGUGGGGAGCAAACAGGAUUAGAUACCCCAGUAGUC